rnacentral:rRNA from 1 species
UACGGAGGGUGCAAGCGUUACCCGGAAUCACUGGGCGUAAAGGGCGUGUAGGCGGAUAUUUAAGUCUGGUUUUAAAGACUGGGGCUCAACCCCAGGAGUGGACUGGAUACUGGAUGUCUUGACCUCUGGAGAGGUAACUGGAAUUCCUGGUGUAGCGGUGGAAUGCGUAGAUACCAGGAGGAACACCAAUGGCGAAGGCAAGUUACUGGACAGAAGGUGACGCUGAGGCGCGAAAGUGUGGGGAGCAAAC